AUUUGAUGAAAAGAUGGGCCACGAACAGAACAAAGGUGGCAUCUAUGGAUUUCGAUGUCUGUCCAAAGAUCAAAAAGAGACUUAUGAAGGAAUGUAAUUUGUCAAGAUAUUGGAUCCCAAGCUGGUCUGCAAGAAGGAUUUUUAAGGUUAGGCAUGUUUCAGUCAUUGGGAACAAGUUCACAGUGGACCUGGACAAUGAAGAAUGUAGCUGUAGGAAGUGGAUGAUCAGUGGCAUCCCAUGUUGUCAUGCAGUUGCAGCAAUGAACUAUUCAAAUGUA
rnacentral:sRNA from 1 species